GAUGAACGCUGGCGGCGUGCCUAAUACAUGCAAGUAGAACGCUGAAGCUUGGUGCUUGCACCGAGCGGAGGAGUUGCGAACGGGUGAGUAACGCGUAGGUAACCUGCCUCUUAGCGGGGGAUAACUAUUGGAAACGAUAGCUAAUACCGCAUAAAAGUCGACAUUGCAUGAUGUUGACUUGAAAGGUGCAAAUGCAUCACUAAGAGAUGGACCUGCGUUGUAUUAGCUAGUUGGUGAGGUAACGGCUCACCAAGGCGACGAUACAUAGCCGACCUGAGAGGGUGAUCGGCCACACUGGGACUGAGACACGGCCCAGACUCCUACGGGAGGCAGCAGUAGGGAAUCUUCGGCAAUGGACGGAAGUCUGACCGAGCAACGCCGCGUGAGUGAAGAAGGUUUUCGGAUCGUAAAGCUCUGUUGUAAGAGAAGAACGAGUGUGAGAGUGGAAAGUUCACACUGUGACGGUAACUACCAGAAAGG
rnacentral:rRNA from 1 species